UAUUCUGCCCCAUGGGGAAGGAUGAGAAGCUUCGACUAAGGUUCGACUCGAGCGAAGCGAGAGAACGUUGCCGCAGGCAACGGCCCGAAGGGCGAGGCGCUUUAGCGCCGAGUAAUCCU
rnacentral:sRNA from 1 species